GACGAACGCUUGCGGCGUGCUUAACACAUGCAAGUCGAACGGAAAGGCCCUGCUUUUGUGGGGUGCUCGAGUGGCGAACGGGUGAGUAACACGUGAGUAACCUGCCCUUGACUUUGGGAUAACUUCAGGAAACUGGGGCUAAUACCGGAUAGGAGCUCCUGCUGCAUGGUGGGGGUUGGAAAGUUUCGGCGGUUGGGGAUGGACUCGCGGCUUAUCAGCUUGUUGGUGGGGUAGUGGCUUACCAAGGCUUUGACGGGUAGCCGGCCUGAGAGGGUGACCGGCCACAUUGGGACUGAGAUACGGCCCAGACUCCUACGGGAGGCAGCAGUGGGGAAUAUUGCACAAUGGGCGGAAGCCUGAUGCAGCAACGCCGCGUGCGGGAUGACGGCCUUCGGGUUGUAAACCGCUUUCGCCUGUGACGAAGCGUGAGUGACGGUAAUGGGUAAAGAAGCACCGGCUAACUACGUGCCAGCAGCCGCGGUGAUACGUAGGGUGCGAGCGUUGUCCGGAUUUAUUGGGCGUAAAGGGCUCGUAGGUGGUUGAUCGCGUCGGAAGUGUAAUCUUGGGGCUUAACCCUGAGCGUGCUUUCGAUACGGGUUGACUUGAGGAAGGUAGGGGAGAAUGGAAUUCCUGGUGGAGCGGUGGAAUGCGCAGAUAUCAGGAGGAACACCAGUGGCGAAGGCGGUUCUCUGGGCCUUUCCUGACGCUGAGGAGCGAAAGCGUGGGGAGCGAACAGGCUUAGAUACCCUGGUAGUCCACGCUGUAAACGGUGGGUACUAGGUGUGGGGUCCAUUCCACGGGUUCCGUGCCGUAGCUAACGCUUUAAGUACCCCGCCUGGGGAGUACGGCCGCAAGGCUAAAACUCAAGGGAAUUGACGGGGCCCCGCACAAGCGGCGGAGCAUGCGGAUUAAUUCGAUGCAACGCGUAGAACCUUACCUGGGUUUGACAUGGAUCGGGAGUGCUCAGAGAUGGGUGUGCCUCUUUUGGGGUCGGUUCACAGGUGGUGCAUGGCUGUCGUCAGCUCGUGUCGUGAGAUGUUGGGUUAAGUCCCGCAACGAGCGCAACCCUUGUUCACUGUUGCCAGCACGUUAUGGUGGGGACUCAGUGGAGACCGCCGGGGUCAACUCGGAGGAAGGUGGGGAUGACGUCAAGUCACCAUGCCCCUUAUGUCCAGGGCUUCACGCAUGCUACAAUGGCUGGUACAGAGAGUGGCGAGCCUGUGAGGGUGAGCGAAUCUCGGAAAGCCGGUCUCAGUUCGGAUUGGGGUCUGCGACUCGACCUCAUGAAGUCGGAGUCGCUAGUAAUCGCAGAUCAGCAACGCUGCGGUGAAUACGUUCCCGGGGCU
rnacentral:rRNA from 1 species